GUCCACUAGGUGCUUCCUUAUCAUUACGGUUGUACAAGUAUUUAUAUCGUAAAACUGAUGUGUAGCUUGAUCUUUAGGGGACAGGACCACCAACCAAUACAUGCAGAUUUUGUGUGUGUGGACAGAAGGUACUUUUGACAUUCAGUUUUGCUAUAUAGAAACAGAAUGAGUAAAUGAGCUUUUUUUUUUUUUUUGCAAGAGGUUAA